GCGAGCGGCGGAUGGGUGAGUAACACGUGGGGAACCUGCCCCUAAGUCUGGGAUACCAUUUGGAAACAGGUGCUAAUACCGGAUAAUAAAGCAGAUCGCAUGAUCAGCUUUUGAAAGGCGGCGUAAGCUGUCGCUAAGGGAUGGCCCCGCGGUGCAUUAGCUAGUUGGUAAGGUAACGGCUUACCAAGGCGACGAUGCAUAGCCGAGUUGAGAGACUGAUCGGCCACAUUGGGACUGAGACACGGCCCAAACUCCUACGGGAGGCAGCAGUAGGGAAUCUUCCACAAUGGACGCAAGUCUGAUGGAGCAACGCCGCGUGAGUGAAGAAGGUUUUCGGAUCGUAAAGCUCUGUUGUUGGUGAAGAAGGAUAGAGGUAGUAACUGGCCUUUAUUUGACGGUAAUCAACCAGAAAGUCACGGCUAACUACGUGCCAGCAGCCGCGGUAAUACGUAGGUGGCAAGCGUUGUCCGGAUUUAUUGGGCGUAAAGCGAGCGCAGGCGGAAAAAUAAGUCUAAUGUGAAAGCCCUCGGCUUAACCGAGGAACUGCAUCGGAAACUGUUUUUCUUGAGUGCAGAAGAGGAGAGUGGAACUCCAUGUGUAGCGGUGGAAUGCGUAGAUAUAUGGAAGAACACCAGUGGCGAAGGCGGCCCUCUGGUCUGCAACUGACGCUGAGGCUCGAAAGCAUGGGUAGCGAACAGGAUUAGAUACCCUGGUAGUCCAUGCCGUAAACGAUGAGUGCUAAGUGUUGGGAGGUUUCCGCCUCUCAGUGCUGCAGCUAACGCAUUAAGCACUCCGCCUGGGGGAGUACGACCGCAAGGUUGAAACUCAAAGGAAUUGACGGGGGCCCGCA
rnacentral:rRNA from 1 species